CUACACUUGACAUCCCUUGCAUUACUCUUAAUCGAGGAAAUCCCUUCGGGGACAAGGUGACAGGUGGUGCAUGGUUGUCGUCAGCUCGUGUCGUGAGAUGUUGGGUUAAGUCCCGCAACGAGCGCAACCCUUGUCGUUAGUUACUACCAUUAAGUUGAGGACUCUAGCGAGACUGCCUGGGUUAACCAGGAGGAAGGUGGGGAUGACGUCAAAUCAUCAUGCCCCUUAUGUGUAGGGCUACACACGUGCUACAAUGGCUGGUACAGAGAGAUGCAAUACCGCGAGGUGGAGCCAAACUUUAAAACCAGUCUCAGUUCGGAUUGUAGGCUGAAACUCGCCUACAUGAAGCUGGAGUUACUAGUAAUCGCGAAUCAGAAUGUCGCGGUGAAUACGUUCCCGGGUCUUGUACACACCG
rnacentral:rRNA from 1 species